AGCGGGGCAGCGAAGUGGAAGGACGCCUGGUUGGAAGGGAGUGGCCGGCCCAGGCAGAGAGGCUGGAGUGCUGAGGGAGCCAGCUGCAGUGCGGGGGACGCGUUAGCGAUGUAUUUGAAGUUUCUGCAGGGAGGGCCCCACUGAGCCUGCACCAGCAGCCUGGGCCUGCAGCCUCGGCCCCUCCUAGCCAACAUCGGUGAGGGUGUUCCCCCAACGUUUCACCUGACUCUGUCCCAGCUCAACUCACCUGAAACAGAAAAAAUAAUCCUAAAAUUUACGUGGAACCACAGAAGACCUCAAAUAGCCAAAGUAACCUUGACCAAAAGGAACAAACUCAAAGGCAUCGCACUAUCUAAUUUCAAAAUCUACUACAAAGCUACAGUAAUCAAAACAGCAUGGUACUGGCACAAAAAAAAAGACACAUAGAUUAAUGGAACAGAAUAGAGAGCCUAGAAAUAGCCAUGCAGAGCCAUGCAUUUACGGUCAAUUCAUUUUCAACAAAGAUGUCAAGAACACAUAAUGGGAAAAUGACAGUCUCUUUAGUAAAUGAUCUUAGGAAAGCUGGAUAUCCACAUACAGAAGAAUUAAAUUAGACCCUCAUCUCAUAUCAUAUAUUAUUACAAAGAUCUACUCAAAACGGGUUAAAGACUUCAAUAUAAGACCUAAAACUAAAACUACUAGAAAUAAACAUAAGAAAAAAGUUUCACGACAUUCGUCUAGGCAAUGAUGUUUUUGGAUGUGACCCCAAAACCACAGGUAAGAAAAGCAAAAACAGACAAGUGAGAUUACACCAAACUACAAAGCUUCUGCACAGCAAAGGAAACAAUCAAAAGGGUGAAAGCAACCUAAGAAAUGGGAGAACAUAUUUGCAAACCAUACAUCUCAUAAGAGGUUAAUAUAUAAGAAACUCAGCCCAACAGCAAGAAAUCAACCUGAUUAAAAUUGGACAAAGGACUUGAAGAAACAUUUCUCAAAAGAAGACAUACGAAUGGUCAGCAGGUAUAUAAAGCAAUGCUCAUUGUCACUAAAUCAUCAAGGAAAUGCAAAUUAAAACCACAGUGAGAUAUUACCUCACACCUGUUAAAAUGGCUAUUAUCAAAAAGAUGAUGAAACACUUACCAAAAGUGUUGAUGAGGAUGUCAGGAAAAGGAAACCCUUGCACACUGUUGGUGGGAUUGUAACUUAGUACAGCCUUUUGGAACACACUAUGAUUCUUCAAAAAACUAAAAAUAGAACUACCAUAUGAUCCAGGAACAUCACUUCUGAGUAUACAUCCAAAGGAUACAAAAUAAUAUGUCAAAGAAAUACAUUACAGCACUAUCCACAUUAGCCAAGAUAUGAAAUCAACCUAAGUAUGCAUCAGUGGAUAAUGGAUAAACGAAAUCUGACAAAUAUGUGGAGUCCUGAUAAGAUAAGUAAGCAACAGUGAGGAAGAGGCCCCAGGAGAGGGAGAGAACAAUUGUUCUGGGAAAUGGCUAAUCACAGACAACCCACUGGCACAGCAUCCUGUUCCCGAAUACCUCAUUCUGCACAUAGCCCCAGCAGCACCACCUUAUAAAACUUCCCUCCAGCCUCUGCUUCUUGGUAGACAAGCCCCUUCUCUGCUGUGCUGCC
rnacentral:lncRNA from 10 species